AGUCGCCGGGGCUGGCGGCGGCGCCAUUUUGAAUCGGCCGAGUGUCGGAGGCGGCGGCUGCCGAGCUGGGAUCCGCGUCAUCCCGGGGAGAACCGGCGGGGAAGGAGCGGAUAUGGCCGCGAAUAGGAACUUGAAGCAAGUGCGGAUCGAGAACAGCUCCCCAGCGGCGCCGCUGGGCAUGGUGGGGGGUGGCGGCGGCGGCGGCAAUCUGAAAGGAUUGCGGGGCCUAGAAGCAGAGAGUGAAGCGGCGGCGGCGGCCAUGGCGCUGGCGCCGAGCAAAGAAGGUGGCGGAGAUGAGGAGCAGGAGGGUGGGUUCACCAUCGAUAUCAAGAGCUUUCUCAAACCUGGCGAGAAGAGCUACACCCAGCGCUGCCGGCUGUUCGUGGGGAAUCUGCCUACUGAUAUUACCGAGGAGGAUUUCAAGCGCCUCUUCGAGCGCUACGGGGAGCCCAGCGAGGUCUUCAUCAAUCGGGACCGUGGCUUCGGCUUCAUCCGCCUGGAAUCUAGGACCCUGGCUGAAAUAGCGAAGGCAGAACUUGAUGGUACUAUUUUGAAGAGCAGACCGCUUCGAAUUCGAUUUGCUACACAUGGAGCUGCCUUAACUGUCAAGAAUCUUUCACCUGUGGUUUCUAAUGAGCUGCUGGAACAAGCAUUCUCUCAGUUCGGGCCAGUGGAAAGAGCGGUUGUUGUAGUAGAUGAUCGUGGCAGAGCUACAGGAAAAGGUUUCGUAGAGUUUGCAGCAAAACCUCCAGCACGAAAAGCUCUAGAAAGAUGCAGUGAUGGGGCAUUCUUACUAACAACAACACCUCGACCUGUUGUUGUAGAACCAAUGGAGCAAUUUGAUGAUGAAGAUGGACUCCCAGAGAAGCUAAUGCAAAAAACACAACAGUACCACAAGGAAAGAGAACAGCCUCCACGUUUUGCUCAGCCUGGAACAUUUGAGUUUGAGUAUGCUUCACGGUGGAAGGCUCUUGAUGAGAUGGAAAAGCAACAACGUGAACAGGUCGACAGGAACAUUAGAGAAGCCAAAGAGAAACUAGAGGCAGAAAUGGAAGCAGCUAGACAUGAGCAUCAGUUAAUGCUAAUGAGGCAAGAUCUCAUGCGUCGUCAAGAAGAAUUGAGGCGUUUGGAAGAACUUCGAAAUCAAGAACUUCAAAAACGCAAGCAGAUACAAUUGAGACAUGAAGAGGAACACAGACGUCGUGAAGAAGAGAUGCUCCGUCAGAGGGAACAGGAGGAAUUACGACGUCAGCAGGAGGGAGGAUUUAAGCCAAAUUUCAUGGACAACGUAAACCUGAACAAAAGCAAACAUGAACACAGCUCUGCGGAUCGUCCUGGGUUCCCUUUGGAAACCCCAAAUAAGUGGACACAAGGGAUUGUGUGUUUUCCUGAGAACAGCUCAGCAUUGGAGUUCUUCCUUUCUGUGUGAUGAAUAGUGGUUCCGCUACUCUCAAAAUGAUACUUUAUGCCUGCUGGUGCAAAAUGCCAUAUGGUCACUUGAGUGGAAGUCAAAAUUUACCCACGCUGCUGUUGUGUGUUAGGUAAUUUUUAAAGCAGACCUAAAAUAAAGGGGGAAAUGCGGGGUAAUUUAGGGGGGAUGCCCUUUGUUAUAGUGGCCACCAAAAAUCCUGUUAAUUAAAGAAACAAAAUCUCAAAAAACUCCAACCCAAACAAAUCUCAAAGCCUGUUGUGUCAGUCAAGCCAAUGAAGCUGCCCAACAUGAAUGUGCAAGAUAAAUGUAAACUGUCCUUGGGUGUUGAAGUGUCACAGCUGUCCCUGCUCAGUGUGCAGCGCUGUCAGCUUGGAGAUUGUCCUGCACAGCUGUUCUCUAUUGGAAAGACAGUAGUGCAGAUAUCCUGUUAUGCUGGAUAUUUGUUAUUGAGGUAGAGAACUUAGGAGUGGGUUUUCAGUUUUCCUUGAUGAUGGAACAAUAUAGGCACAGUAUCACUCAGUUCAUGUGUGAUGCAUCUGUUCUCUUCAGAAUAAGUAUGUGUAUCAUGCUGUUAGCCUUUUAGACUAUUUCAGAUUCAUUUUGCUUGGCACCAUUCCCAGUUUGAGCUUUAAUUAAAAGAGAAGUUUUAUCGUAAGAAUCAAAAUUCAGAGUCUGUUACUUUGAAAAUAUCUUUUUGCUGUGUUCCUGUUCACUCUUAGAAAUCCAUUUUUCAUCCCUGGCUGUGAGGAUACGUUCAGGUCUAACAAAGUCAUUGCUGUUAAUCAUAAACAGUAGGGUAUGUAUAGGUUAAUACGAUCUUAAUUUUUUGUAGAGAGAGAAUCCUGAAGAAACAGAGCACAGGCACAGACCUAGUAAAACCACACAUAUUGUAACACUACCAGCAGUCUUACUGGCUGGUUUCAGGGCCUAUCUUCAAAAACAUAGCAGAUCUAUGUGCCUACAACUAUUACUAAUAUCUACUAGUUGCCAAGAAUAUGGUUCACUGCUUUCUCUUUAGUUAGUCUAGGUGGCCAAGAGCAGGUAAUAUGCACAGGCUGUUACAGAAACUGGAAAGACUGUGUUAAGCCUAUGGUUGCUUUAGCUUUCUUGAUGGGGGGGAAAACUAAUUAUUGUGGUUUUUUCGUAUUAAAAUGGAGACUGAAAGAUGUGCAGUUUGUAAUUACGACUUCCCUUUAAGAUGGGUACAUAGUUAUCAAUAGCUGCAUCUAUUUCACCAUGUGAAGGUAAUGUCCCAGGUCACUAAAUGCUUGUCCAGAUGACAAUUACAGCCUGGACCCCAUGACAGACAAUUUAUCACUGGCCAUUAUUGCAUUUGACCUGCCAAGUGAUUUUAAUCCUGGGACUUGCAAAAUUAUAGCUGUAGUUAGAAAGGGUUAGUGUAAUUCCUGCUUUAGGAAUAAGGUAUCCAUCUUAAUGAAUGUCCAGUACAGAAUAAAUAACGGAACUUUUGAAAUUUGAUAGAUAGCAAGCUGCACCAAGCUGGAGUGGGAGUUGGGGUAGAUGAAAAGGAAUCAAAUGGAAAAAAUGAUAAAUUAACAGCACUUUUAAUAGGACUCACAAGUUGUGCCAACUUUGUAUUUAUUCUGAGCUGCGAGUCUCAGCCUGUUUUCAGCUGUGUCUGAUAAGGUAAAUGUUACUUUUAUUGUAAAUGUUUGUGGCUGUUGUAAUUUACAUGUAUGUCACUUCUCAGUUGCUUUCUGGGGGCUGUUACUGAAGUGAAGAUAGCCUGAAAGGUGCUACCUGUGUGUGCCCUUCCAAAUGAAUUCUUUCUGUAACAAACACUUUGCAGGGUGUGCUAAGUUUUAUGAUCAAACAGGACCACAGGAUGUUGGUAAAUUGUUUUAAGAAAUCUUUAUCUGAGAACAUACAAAGUUCUUCACCUCUUUGCGCUGGGGAUCUUUCCAGGUACCUCUCUGCAGGCAUUUCAUUAGGGCUCCUGGGCUCUACAACACGUUUCUGUGCCUGAGUAGUGGAUUGUGUUAAGCCUAUGAAAUCUUGCAGUGCUCACAUGUUAUUUUAAGUUGGAGGUAUUUAUGAAGAGGUGAUUUUAACUGGGGGAGGAGGGAAUGUGUGCGUAUAGGUGAGAGCCCUGAACGGCUGGGGCUUGGAGCUGUUGAAUUUUAAACACUUUAAACAUUUUGGAUAAUUAUUUGCACAUGAUUCUGUGAGGAGACACACAGAGUUCAAGAUGCAUACCCUUAUUAAGACUCGUAUUUCAGCAUUUUUAAUGGAAUUACAGUAAUUUUAAGUAUGAUUUAUUGAAUGUAAUAGGAAUAAAAUACCAUUAGGACUAGCUGUUCUUCCAACUGCACUUAGUACAAAUACAAGCAGAUCUAUUUCAGAAGUUGUAAAAUUAAAAAAAGUCUUAAACUUUUGUAUCAAAUGCUUGGAGCAUUAAAAUGUAUUUUAAUGACACUUGUAUGCAGUUCUGGUCUGAGAUGUUAUAUUAUAUAGUGGGACAUUUCACUCCAGUUUAGUUUAGUUGUAUUAUUUUGAUAUACAGCUUUGCCCCUUAUAAAUGUGGGUAACUGAGCUGACAGGAGGCUGUGGAAGGAGGAGGCGGCUGCAGUGAGAGCAGUUAGUUCUUAAUGACUCAGUGUUGUGUGCAGGGAUCCUGAUUAUUGUAGUGGCACUAAUGUGGCAAAGAUGGAAUGUCACUUUGGCCAAGUGCAUUGACAGGCCUAGAAGACAACAUGUAGUAUGUCUUCUGUCACAUGAAGUAUGUGUGUUUUAGAAAACUUCUGAAGAGAAACGACUCAGGACUCUUUGGAGCAGAACUGCACUUAAUCCACUCCAAGCACAAGUAUGAAAAUCUAGGAACUUGUUAAUGUUCUUAGAACAGCUGUUUAACUGCUAAGGCAGUAAAAAUUAAAUUAAAAUUGAGGGACAAAUCUGUGUAGUAACAAGUGGUAAGAGUGGGUAGAGAAUAAAUGGAUUUUUCUAUAAUUCUAUUAUUUAUGGGUGUUUGAAAAGAUUAGCUGCUGUAUUUUCUAAUUUGUUUGAAGUGUCAUAGUUAUUUACUGUCUCCUUGUUUUUUAGGUUACUAUUAGAAUCUUAAAAUGCAGAUGAAGACUGGCUUGUGCAGAAUCCUUGUGCAUCUUAAGCACACAAAAGGGAAUCGUAAACCAAGUUUUAGUACAAGGUUUCAAUGAAAGCCACUGGUGGCUGCGCACCCUGAAAACUGAAGGUGGCUUUCUGCUGUACAGUGAUGAUGUGCAAAAUGCUGCUCUUCACCUUGGAGUUACAAGGACCAUCGGGGGUAAGAAUUGUGUUGUCACCUGCUAGAGCACUUAACAGUGGCUGUGACUAUUGUGAUGACUGUCCUGUGAGACCUGAGGAAAAAGGGCUGUUUGAAACGAUAGGAAGGGACCCAGCCUUGGAGGUGGUGCAUCCCCACCAACAUCCCAGCUUGGAAAAGACACAUUGGACAAACGUGAAUACCAUGUCUGUUUGUGAGGUUCCAGAGACUUCUUCUUGUAUGAGGAGUUACAGCUUUUGUGAUGCCACUGUCUUCAGCCUCUGGCACAGAUGGUGGUACCCAGGGAGAAGCCAAGUCCAGCAUUUCAUAGGAAAGCUGAUGUUGGCCAGCUCUGAUGUGUAACUGAGGUAACGACGCCCUAUGUAGACUGCACUGGAAGCAGAUUCUUUUUCUAGAAAUAGUUCUAAGGAAACAGUGUUUGAUAAAAGGAUUAAAGGUUGUACAUGCUACAAAAAGAAUCAAGAGUAAAUGAUAUAUUAAAAGACUGCUGCUUGGUUUCAAUUAUUGCUUUUGGACUAAAAAAAAGCCUUAAGAGUUAAAAUGAAUGAGAAAAUACUUCCAGGCCCUAAAAUAUAUGACAAAACAUAGGAAAGGGGUGGAGGUUAAAGAAAAAAACCAGUAGUGUGGAUUGGAUUUAUGCUGCAGUAGUUUAGAAGAA